UUUCGGUCCCGGCGCGUACGCGUUGGGUGAAAAGGGAACACGGUGCUUUGGCCUUGGCCGAAAAAUCCGCGACUGCCCCCGCAACUGUGAGCGGUGAGCGAUGCUGCAGAUGCCACUGACGUAUCAUUACGUUGGGAAGGCCAGCAAAGCGACGACCCGCAAGUCAGGAGACCUGCCGUAAGC
rnacentral:ncRNA from 1 species